rnacentral:rRNA from 1 species
AGAGUUUGAUCCUGGCUCAGAACGAACGCUGGCGGCAGGCCUAACACAUGCAAGUCGAACGCCCUAGCAAUAGGGAGUGGCAGACGGGUGAGUAACGCGUGGGAACCUUCCCUAUAGUACGGAAUAUACCAGGGAAACUUGGAGCAAUACCGUAUACGCCCGAAAGGGGAAAGAUUUAUCGCUAUAGGAUGGGCCCGCGUAGGAUUAGCUAGUUGGUGAGGUAAUGGCUCACCAAGGCGACGAUCCUUAGCUGGUCUGAGAGGCUGAUCAGCCACACUGGGACUGAGACACGGCCCAGACUCCUACGGGAGGCAGCAGUGGGGAAUAUUGGGCAAUGGGCGCAAGCCUGACCCAGCCAUGCCGCGUGAGUGACGAAGGCCUUAGGGUUGUAAAGCUCUUUUGGCGGGGACGAUAAUGACGGUACCCGCAGAAUAAGCCCCGGCUAACUUCGUGCCAGCAGCCGCGGUAAUACGAAGGGGGCUAGCGUUGUUCGGAAUCACUGGGCGUAAAGCGCACGUAGGCGGACUUUCAAGUCAGGGGUGAAAUCCCGGGGCUCAACCUCGGAACUGCCUUUGAUACUGUUGGUCUCGAGUCCGAUAGAGGUGGGUGGAAUUCCUAGUGUAGAGGCGAAAUUCGUAGAUAUUAGGAAGAACACCGGUGGCGAAGGCGGCCCACUGGAUCGGUACUGACGCUGAGGUGCGAAAGCGUGGGGGAGCAAACAGGAUUAGAUACCCUGGGUAGUCCACGCCGUAAACGAUGGAUGCUAGCCGUCGGCAAGCUUGCUUGUCGGUGGCGCAGCUAACGCAUUAAGCAUCCCGCCU